CCUACGGGAGGCAGCAGUGAGGAAUAUUGGUCAAUGGGCGAGAGCCUGAACCAGCCAAGUCGCGUGAGGGAAGACGGUCCUAUGGAUUGUAAACCUCUUUUGUCGGGGAGCAAAAAGGCCUCGUGAGGCCACAAGUGAGAGUACCCGAAGAAAAAGCAUCGGCUAACUCCGUGCCAGCAGCCGCGGUAAUACGGAGGAUGCGAGCGUUAUCCGGAUUUAUUGGGUUUAAAGGGUGCGUAGGCGGAAGGUUAAGUCAGCGGUAAAAUGUCGGUGCUCAACACCGGCCUGCCGUUGAAACUGGUCUUCUUGAGUGAGCGAGAAGUAUGCGGAAUGCGUGGUGUAGCGGUGAAAUGCAUAGAUAUCACGCAGAACUCCGAUUGCGAAGGCAGCAUACCGGCGCUCAACUGACGCUGAGGCACGAAAGCGUGGGGAUCGAACAGGAUUAGAUACCCGUGUAGUC
rnacentral:rRNA from 1 species